GGGUUGUGAGGUUAAGCGACCAAGCGUACACGGUGGAUGCCCUGGCAGUCAGAGGCGAUGAAGGACGUGCUAAUCUGCGAAAAGCGCCGGUAAGGUGAUAUGAACCGUUAUAACCGGCGAUGUCCGAAUGGGGAAACCCAGUGUGAUUCGUCACACUAUCAUUAACUGAAUCCAUAGGUUAAUGAGGCGAACCGGGGGAACUGAAACAUCUAAGUACCCCGAGGAAAAGAAAUCAACCGAGAUUCCCCCAGUAGCGGCGAGCGAACGGGGAGGAGCCCAGAGCCUGAAUCAGCAUGUGUGUUAGUGGAAGCGUCUGGAAAGGCGCGCGAUACAGGGUGAGAGCCCCGUACACAAAAGCGCACGUGCUGUGAGCUCGAUGAGUAGGGCGGGACACGUGGUAUCCUGUCUGAAUAUGGGGGGACCAUCCUCCAAGGCUAAAUACUCCUGACUGACCGAUAGUGAACCAGUACCGUGAGGGAAAGGCGAAAAGAACCCCGGCGAGGGGAGUGAAACAGAACCUGAAACCGUGUACGUACAAGCAGUGGGAGCCCCACCACUAAGCCAGUGGUGAACUCCACAUACGCAUCCUUUGCUGAGGAUACGGUUAACGGAGCGAAAGCGACGUUCAACCGCAAAAGAAGCAGAGGGGGCUUAGUGGUGGGGUGACUGCGUACCUUUUGUAUAAUGGGUCAGCGACUUAUAUUCUGUAGCAAGGUUAACCGCAUAGGGGAGCCGGAGGGAAACCGAGUCUUAACCGGGCGUUAAGUUGCAGGGUAUAGACCCGAAACCCGGUGAUCUAGCCAUGGGCAGGUUGAAGGUUGGGUAACACUAACUGGAGGACCGAACCGACUAAUGUUGAAAAAUUAGCGGAUGACCUGUGGCUGGGGGUGAAAGGCCAAUCAAACCGGGAGAUAGCUGGUUCUCCCCGAAAGCUAUUUAGGUAGCGCCUCGUGAAUUCAUCUCCGGGGGUAGAGCACUGUUUCGGCCAGGGGGCCAUCCCGGCUUACCAAUCCGAUGCAAACUGCGAAUACCGGAGAAUGUUAUCACGGGAGACACACGGCGGGUGCUAACGUCCGUCGUGAAGAGGGAAACAACCCAGACCGCCAGCUAAGGUCCCAAAGUCAUGGUUAAGUGGGAAACGAUGUGGGAAGGCCCAGACAGCCAGGAUGUUGGCUUAGAAGCAGCCAUCAUUUAAAGAAAGCGUAAUAGCUCACUGGUCGAGUCGGCCUGCGCGGAAGAUGUAACGGGGCUAAACCAUGCACCGAAGCUGCGGCAGCGACACUGAUGUGUUGUUGGGUAGGGGAGCGUUCUGUAAGCCGUUGAAGGUGGCCUGUGAGGGUUGCUGGAGGUAUCAGAAGUGCGAAUGCUGACAUAAGUAACGAUAAAGCGGGUGAAAAGCCCGCUCGCCGGAAGACCAAGGGUUCCUGUCCAACGUUAAUCGGGGCAGGGUGAGUCGACCCCUAAGGCGAGGCCGAAAGGCGUAGUCGAUGGGAAACGGGUUAAUAUUCCCGUACUUGGUGUUACUGCGAAGGGGGGACGGAGAAGGCUAUGUUGGCCGGGCGACGGUUGUCCCGGUUUAAGCGUGUAGGUGUGUGUUCCAGGUAAAUCCGGUUCACUUUAACACUGAGGCGUGAUGACGAGGCACCACGGUGCUGAAGCAACAAAUGCCCUGCUUCCAGGAAAAGCCUCUAAGCCUCAGGUAACAUCAAAUCGUACCCCAAACCGACACAGGUGGUCAGGUAGAGAAUACCAAGGCGCUUGAGAGAACUCGGGUGAAGGAACUAGGCAAAAUGGUGCCGUAACUUCGGGAGAAGGCACGCUGACAGGUAGGUGAAGUGGUUUACCCAUGGAGCUGAAGUCAGUCGAAGAUACCAGCUGGCUGCAACUGUUUAUUAAAAAACACAGCACUGUGCAAACACGAAAGUGGACGUAUACGGUGUGACGCCUGCCCGGUGCCGGAAGGUUAAUUGAUGGGGUCAGCGCAAGCGAAGCUCUGAUCGAAGCCCCGGUAAACGGCACGUAACUAUAACGGUCCUAAGGUAGCGAAAUUCCUUGUCGGGUAAGUUCCGACCUGCACGAAUGGCGUAAUGAUGGCGGGCUGUCACCCGGGACUCAGUGAAAUUGAACUCGCUGUGAAGAUGCAGUGUACCCGCGGCAAGACGGAAAGACCCCGUGAACCUUUACUAUAGCUUGACACUGAACACUGGUCCUUGAUGUGCAGGAUAGGUGGGAGGCUUUGAAGUGUGGACGCCAGUCUGCAUGGAGCCAUCCUUGAAAUACCACCCUUUAAUGGCUGGUGUUCUAACGUGGGCCCCUGACCGGGGUUGCGGACAGUGUCUGGUGGGUAGUUUGACUGGGGCGGUCUCCUCCUAAAGAGUAACGGAGGAGCACGAAGGUUGGCUAAUCUGGUCGGACAUCAGGAGGUUAGUGCAAUGGCAUAAGCCAGCUUGACUGCGAGCGUGACGGCGCGAGCAGGUGCGAAAGCAGGUCAUAGUGAUCCGGUGGUUCUGAAUGGAAGGGCCAUCGCUCAACGGAUAAAAGGUACUCCGGGGAUAACAGGCUGAUACCGCCCAAGAGUUCAUAUCGACGGCGGUGUUUGGCACCUCGAUGUCGGCUCAUCACAUCCGGGCUGAAGUAGGUCCCAAGGGUAUGGCUGUUCGCCAUUUAAAGUGGUACGCGAGCUGGGUUUAGAACGUCGUGAGACAGUUCGGUCCCUAUCUGCCGUGGGCGCUGGAAGAUUGAGGGGGGCUGCUCCUAGUACGAGAGGACCGGAGUGGACGCAUCACUGGUGUUCGGGUUGUCAUGCCAAUGGCACUGCCCGGUAGCUACAUGCGGAAGAGAUAAGUGCUGAAAGCAUCUAAGCACGAAACUUGCCCCGAGAUGAAUCUUCCCUGAGCCUUUAAGGCUCCUGAAGGAACGUUGAAGACGACGACGUUGAUAGGCCGGGUGUGUAAGCGCAGCGAUGCGUUGAGCUAACCGGUACUAAUGAACCGUGAGGCUUAACCUUACAACGCCGAAG
rnacentral:rRNA from 1 species